GAUCUACUAGCCCGCCUUACCCUUCAUGAGAAGGAAGAAGAUGAUUUUGUGUGGGAGGAAGAGCUACCAGAUCUACUAGAGCCGGCGAAGUGGCUGGCGAUUGCGAGGGUGCGUACCCAAAAAACUUUCAGCCCUAACGCAUUGUAUGGCGACAUGAGGGCGGCCUGGAAUCCAGCUAAGCCGGUAGCAUGGAGGAAGAUCAGGGAUAACCUGUUUUCGGCGCAGUUUGGAUGUCUCGCAGACUGGAAGAAAGCUAUGUACGAAGGACCGUGGUUGUUCAGGGACCAGGCCGUGAUCUUAGAGGAGUGUGAUGGAUUCAAAAACCCUGAUUCGUUCAAACUGGAUAGAAUUGAGUUAUGGGCUCAGAUCCAUCGACUUCCAGACAAUUUUUUGAUCGAGCCGGCGGUUAAGGGGCUAGCGUCGAGGAUCGGCGAGGUGGUAGAGAUACAGCUAAAGCUGCCGGCCGGAUUUUUUGGUGAAUUCGUGAGAGUGAGGAUCAAGAUUGAUGUUAACGCAAAGAUCAAAAGGUUUGUCACGGGAAAAAGGGCGAGGAGAGGGUCAGGUAUCCAGUAA
rnacentral:rRNA from 1 species